UUAAAAAAAUUAUUAAAAAACUGCGCGGUCUGGAACGGGAUACCACGACUUUGGGUUGGUAUAAUAAAAUGCCGCUCAGUUUGUUGUCUUCUUUACACUUUCCUUGACAGCGUUUCCGAAAUUGCUGGCAUAUUCAAGGGAAGUCCAUAAAGGUGAUUUCUGAUGGACCACAGAGUGACAGUUCUCUACAUCUAAUGUCAUGCAGCUCAGGAGGUUGGUCCAAUUAUAACCCAUUGGCGCUAACAGGUCUUAAAGUCUCUGAAGGCCAGACUGCAACAAUAAAACAGACUCUAUUGUCUUCUUAGCCACAUUUCCCUGUGGUCCAUUAAGGGACCUUGGCAAGCUUUGGAUUUCACCGCGAAUCGAGGCCUCGUUUCGGCGAAGAUAUUGCAACGUUUCUUUAAGCAGUGUAACGGCAUCUUGUAGACUGCAAAGUUCGUACUUUGCAUGCUUCUCGUGGACGGAUAAAGCCUUGUAUAUCUUUCCGACUGCAUCUAGAAAUGCAGUGGUUUCCGUUCAUGCAGAGUGGUGAUUACCUUGAAACAGUUGGUGCGCGCAUACGCUCAGUCCAAAGAAUCGUCCAGGUCCGACAGGUCCCAGGCAGAAGCAGAAAAGGUCAAAUCCGUCAACAAAGCAGGAAUGACUGCAGGAUCUUGACCUCUAACUUCAGUGAUUUGAUAUCUCUUUCCGAGUGACGAAAACGGCGAAAAUAGUAAAAUCGGAAAAGACGAACAACACAAAAAAGUGAUAAUGAGCAAAAUUUGACCGGCUUCACUUCCUUUGACACUCAUAGCUUGACUACAAACGCGGUAUACACACUUAAGAACCAUUUUUUUUUUCAGUCAACGCUAAUGAAUUUUUAGUCAAGACUAAACUAAAUUCCCGUAUCCCGAAUCCCAUCCCCAUAAAAGUAGGAAAUCCCGCUCACGCUGGUUGUUAAAAUUCCUGCAUACCGCUUCUGUUUUCAGCUCAUAUCCCGAAUAUCACCACGAAAAAUAGCCAAAUCCCGCAUUCCGCCAAACCUAUUGUGGACCCUCUCUAACGGGCAUUUCAAUGCAUCACCUCAUUAAGGGGGCAUUCUGGUCAAAAAAUCCAAAAAUUCCCAAAAGAAAUGUAAAAUUUCUUUUAUGCCCUUAAAGGUCACUUAAGUUUAUCUAUUUUUAGGAUAUAAUAUUCUUUUACCCAACAAAGAACGCUUUUAUCAAAAAAAAUCCACAUAAAGAGAGGCCUCUAUUAUUUUACGUUUCCGUUACCAUGGCAACGAAAGCGAAACCAAUCAGAAUUUCAGCUAAAUUUACAAUAGAAAAACAAAAAAUCAGCUGAAUUGAGUCUGUGGGAUCCAGAAGUCCUAGAUCCACGUCCCUGGGUCUAGAUUUUCUGAUUAGAGCCUGGCUACUCAGCUCAAAGAGUAAACUCGUGUUGCUUCAUAACAACGCUUCGCGUCGCUAUUGUUUAUAUUUCGUAUACACCCAAAAUAUCAUUGUUAUAAUGCCUAAAUAUGGCUCAAAACAGUCGACUAUUCAGAAGAAUAAGUAAAGGAAGAAAAAAGGCUGCUGGGGAGUUAAAAAACAAACUGUUUUGAGGGCAAAAACGCGUGAUCAGACUGCAACCGUUGCUGUCACAUUUGUUGGCGAAGAGGAUGUUGUAAGUGAAAGAAUUCCUCCGUCCAAAACUCCAGCUUCUUCGCGGCAACUAGGUGCCCAAGAACAAGAAUCAUCUGAUUCCGAGAGUUAUGAAUUUUAGGAAAAAGUAAAAGGCUAUCAGCUUGUUUCUAUGGACAGUUUGUUAAAGUUUGUUCGAAGGAUUCACUCGCGUGGACCAAGUGCUUCAGGCAAUGUUAAGCUGAUUGAGAGAAGCAUUGAGAGAUUUGUUAUCAGCAGCUCUUUCUUUGCUCAGUGCCAUGAGUGUGGCAUGGAGGAAUUUAUGGCUACAGGAGAGCAUGAUGGUGAUCAAGAGACCCCGAGAACCAUCUAGGGUAAAGAUAUCAAUAGACUAGUAGUUAAUGCUGCUUUUGAGAUGGGAAUUGGUAGAGAAGGGGUGGCUAAGCUAUGUGAAAUCCUAAACAUGCCAUUCAGCAUUUCGAUAGACACUUGGUAUAGCCAUGAGGAAAUUCUUCAUGCUGCACACGACAAAGUCACCAAGGAGCAGCUUAAAGUCAAUGAGAAUGAAGCAAAACAAGUCGCAAUAGAUAGAAGAACCUCAAGAAAUGAUAACAGUUCUCUUGUUGAUAUCCCUGUCACCUUUGAUUGCACUUGGUCAAAGAGGGGUUUUACUGCUAAUCAUUGUGCUGGCUUAGCCUGCAAAGACAAGCCUCAUCAUUUGGAUGCUGUCUUCAAAGAGCCAUUGCUAAAGAUUUAUGAAAGAUUAAGUGAGUCAGCAUUGUUGCAAAGGUGUUUGCCUGGCUACACACAAUGCCAAUGAAUCUAUCAAUUCUCAUGUCUGGAAAGUGUCCAAAGCACAAGUGGCAUGGAUCAAAGAGAAUAGUGAUGGUGGCAAAUGCUGCUGCCCUUCAUUUUAGUUGUGGCGCAACUAAGAAACAAUGUUAUGAGGGAAGCAGGGCUUGUUGUGGGACACCAUACCAACAGAGCUAGUGAAAGAAGAGACUCAGGAAGAGUAAAACAGGCUGUGGCAAGAGUGCAAGAAAAGCACAAGAAAUAUAGGCUUGCAAGGAAACAAGCAAAAGCAAAAGAAGAAGAACUCCGAGUCAGGAGAGAAGGAGUGACAUAUGAAGCAGGCAGUUUUAAUGACAUUGCUACUCUCAGAGAGCCUCAAAAGAAAGAAAGGAACAGGUAGAGACAGUUAGGAUAGGUGUGAGCAGUGUAUCAAUGUAAAUUUGUGAGUUUAUGUAAGUCAAGGGGCUCUAGGUAGUAUCUAACUAUAAUUAAUUAUCAAAUUAUGGAAAUUUUGUUGUUUUCGUACUUGCCCCUUAAAUAUCUUAAGAGCAUUUCAACAUAUUUUCACCAUAUUUUGCACAGUUAUAAUAGAUAUUAUGGUUAACAAAUUAAUUGAGCCUUUUUUGAAAAUUGCACAUAAAACAGAAAUUACAGUCUGUUAAAUAUUCUCUGUUGACAAAUGGUUGCCAUGGUAACUACAGUUGGCAAAACCCCAAAAGGCUCAAUUACUUUGUUGAGUGUGUUGUGUAAGUGCUUUGUACUAAGUUACAGCUCUAUAGCUCUUUUAGAACACAAGAAUUUCAAGGGGAAGCUAGAACAAGUAAAAAAUUGUCUCCUGAAUUCAUUAGUUAAUAAUUAACUUCAUUAAAGAUUCUGGUGUCUAUUGA